UGAUGCCAGGGUCAAAAGGUCAUGUGUUUCAUGCUUGCAUGAAAAAGCAUGACUUUGGGACCCGUAAAACAUGAGAAAGUAGCCCGAAUAGGGCGGAUUUCGAAUGUUUUAGGAUUGUGAGAGCACAAAGUGCGUAACAAUUUGUAGGCAUCA
rnacentral:sRNA from 1 species